rnacentral:rRNA from 1 species
UCCCGCACAAGCAGCGGAGCGUGUGGUUUAAUUCGAUGCUACACGAAGAACCUUACCUGGGUUUGACAUAGAGGUAGUAGGGAAGCGAAAGCGGACCGACCUUCGGGGAGCCUCUACAGGUGUUGCAUGGCUGUCGUCAGCUCGUGUCGUGAGAUGUUCGGUUAAGUCCACUAACGAGCGCAACCCUCGCUGUGUGUUACAAGUGUCACACGGUACUGCCGAUAUUAAGUCGGAGGAAGGUGGGGAUGACGUCAAGUCAGCAUGACCUUUAUAUCCAGGGCUACACACACGCUACAAUGGCCAGUACAAUGGGUUGCCAAGCCGCGAGGCGGAGCCAAUCCUAAAAAGCUGGCCUCAGUUCAGAUUGCAGUCUGCAACUCGACUGCAUGAAGUUGGAGUUGCUAGUAACCGCAGGUCAGCAAUACUGCGGUGAAUACGUUCCCGGGGAUU